rnacentral:rRNA from 1 species
AUUGUCUGUACUGGUGAGAUGAGUCUCUACCUUCUGAGGAACUUUCAUGCCAUUCGUUUGGUGUGAUGGGAAAUCAGGACUGUUACUUUGAAAAAAUUAGAGUGUUUAAAGCAGGCUAACGUCUGAAUACAUUAGCAUGGAAUAAUGAAAUAGGACGGAUUGAUUCUAUUUCGUUGGUUUCUAGGGUCACCGUAAUGAUUAAUAGGGAUAGUUGGGGGCAUUAGUAUUCAAUUGUCAGAGGUGAAAUUCUUGGAUUUAUUGAAGACUAACUACUGCGAAAGCAUUUGCCAAGGAUGUUUUCAUUAAUCAAGAACGAAAGUUAGGGGAUCGAAGACGAUCAGAUACCGUCGUAGUCUUAACCAUAAACUAUGCCGACAAGGGAUCGGACGCAGUUAAUUUUAUAAUGACGUGUUCGGCACCUUACG